rnacentral:rRNA from 1 species
GACGAACGCUGGCGGCGUGCUUAACACAUGCAAGUCGAACGAGUGGCGAACGGGUGAGUAAUACGUGGGAACCUGCCUGUUGGAGGGGGAUAACUACUGGAAACGGUGGCUAUUACCGCAUACCAUCAGAUGUGCCCAGAUGGGAUUAGCUAGUCGUGGGGGUAAUGGCUCACCGAGGCGACGACCCCUAGCUGGUCUGAGAGGAUGACCAGCCACACUGGAACUGAGACACGGUCCAGACUCCUACGGGAGGCAGCAGUGGGGAAUAUUGCACAAUGGGCGCAAGCCUGAUGCAGCCAUGCCGCGUGUGUGAAGAAGGCCUUCGGGUUGUAAAGCACUUUCAGCGAGGAGGCGUUACUCGCAGAAGAAGCACCGGCUAACUCCGUGCCAGCAGCCGCGGUAAUAC